AUGAGGGAGUUGGGAAGAUUUCUACUGGCUGCCAAGUCCCUGGACAGAAAAGUGCAAUCCCUUCAAGAUGUUUUGGUUCCACCAAAGUUUUCCUUAGCGGUAGCAGCAGCCAAAAAAGCGUCUGGUUUCACCAACUCGGCGCAUAGACACAGCACACCAUCUCUUGCUUUAAAAUUGGGGCACUCACUGAAGGCAGCAUGUGACAUUGUUAUAGGACAACAUAUAAAGGCUGAAGAUGAAUUGGCUGCCAACCGAGUAAGGAACUUCUUGGGCUUAGUUGCUGCAGAGUGGGACCUGUAUGUGUCACGCCAUGCAAGAACAAACCUAGAAGAAGAAAGAUGGAACAAAAAAGACAUGAUUCCACUCACAGAGGAUGUCAUGAAGCUUCAGAAAGUGUUGAAGUCCACAGAGGAGGAGGCAAAGGACAAGCUCCUGAAUGGACCAAACCCAACAGCUUACGAGACGCUCAGCGAGUGCCUUCUUGCCCAAAUCAUCCUGUUCAACAGAAGACGCCAAGGUGAGGCGGCAAAAAUGCCUCUGGUGACAUACAGAGACAGAGCCGCUGAGCAACCAAAUGAAGACAUCAUGAAGUGCCUCUCAAGGCUAGAAAAGGAUUUGAGUCAUGAGUUUACCCGGUUAGUGGUCAGAGGAAAGAGAGGACGUAAAGUGCCGGUGCUUCUUACAAAAGGGAUGACUUCCUCACUUGACUUCCUCAUUGAAAACAGGGGUGUGGAGAGGGACAUUUUGGAAAGUUAUGAGUAUGUUUUUGCAAGACAGAAUACCGAUUCCCAUAUUCGAGGUUCAGACUGUUUGAGGAAAUAUGCAGCUCUAAGUGGAGCAAAGAGACCUGAAACACUCACCUCGACCCAACUGAGGAAACACGUGGCUACACUGAGCCAGAUUAUGAAUCUCAAAGACAAUGAAUCGGACCAGCUUGCUAAAUACAUGGGACAUGAUAUUCGCGUUCAUCGCGAAUAUUAUCGGCUCACAGAGAAUACGCUACAGCUUGCUAAAAUGAGCAAGCUGCUCAUGGCUAUUGAACUUGGAACUGAUGUCUACAGAGGCAAAUCUCUUGAUGAGCUUGAUUUAGACUUAGAAAUGGCUUUGUCUGCCAAAGAUGGAUCAAUACAAGAAUCCCAGGUCACGCAAAGCAAUGACAGUGGGGAAACUUUAGAGCUUCCUGAAGACAUGGAUGAACCAGAUAGAAAGCCAUCAGAGGAAAAAAGAGGAGAGACAGGGUCCUCCAAGAGAAAAAGGACGAAGGAGCGUUCUCGGCCUUCUCCAUGUUCAGAUGAAGAGCCACAAAGCCCCUCCUUUUCCCAACCAUUUAAAGUCCAGAAGAGAGGAGAGACAGGGUCCUCCAAGAGAAAAAGGACGAAGGAGCGUUCUCUGCCUUCUCCAUGUUCAGAUGAAGAGCCACAAAGCCCCUCCUUUUCCCAACCAUUUAAAGUCCAGAAGAGAGGAGAGUCAGAUAUGGAUCUUCCAAAAGGCAUCCGUCGCAGGCCUUGGAGUAAACGGGAGAAAGAAGCUGUAUGGAGGCAGUUGGGGAAGUAUAUCACACUUCUACGAGUUCCUGGGAAAGAGGAGUGCAUGAAUGCAUUACAAGCUGAACGUGCGCUGAAAAGGCGCACAUGGACAGAUGUAAAAAAUUAAGUGUACAAUACAAUCACUUCCCAAAAGAGGAAGAAUUUAUAAGCAAUUCAUUCAUUUGAUGAAGUUUGGUCAUGUGAAUUUCAUAUUCAUUUAUGGCAGUGGUCUUAUUUGUGCUAGCGGUUUUACUUUCUGAAAUGAUUUCAGUCACUUUUUUAUUAUUAUAUAUUAUAUAUAUUAUCGCUAAAUUUAUGGGUAAUUUUCACUGCAGCAAGUGUUGAGGUGUUCAAAAUGCACAAAGAUGUGCAGAAAUCCUGCCAAGUGAUUUUCACUGCAGCAAGAAGUGUUGGUGUUCAAAAUGCACAAAGAUGUGCAUAAAUCCUGUCAAGUAAUUUUCACUGCAGCAAGAAGUGUUGGUGUUCAAAAUGCACAAAGAUGUGCAUAAAUCCUGCCAAGUAAUGUUUAACUGCAGCAAAAAGUGUCAGAAUGCAUGCAGAAAUUGUAAAACUGUUUACAAUAAAGUAAUUUGUUUAAUAUGAGUUUGAGUUUCAUAAUGUAUUAAGACAUUUCUCUAAAGGCGGGUACACACUACAGGAUUUGUCAAACCUUCACAGAUUAGGAGACCACACACUUGAUGAUAACAAAAGACAGAUCGCACAAGAUCUCUCUCUGCUGAUCUUAUAGUGUGUGGUGUUCUCCGUAGUGCACACCACACACUAACCGAUUCUUCAGCAGAGUAUCAGGUUCUUAACGCGCAAUAUUGCAAAUCUCGCGUGGUCAAACGUGACUUCAGUGUAAACAAACAUGGCGGAUGAACCGGUAGAUACAGUGGUGGUUGUUUUAGGCCUAUUACUGGCUGAAAAAGUCAUGGAGACGGCGAGAGUGUGG
rnacentral:lncRNA from 1 species